AGUGAACGCUGGCGGUAGGCCUAACACAUGCAAGUCGAACGGCAGCACAGUAAGAGCUUGCUCUUACGGGUGGCGAGUGGCGGACGGGUGAGGAAUACAUCGGAAUCUACUUUUUCGUGGGGGAUAACGUAGGGAAACUUACGCUAAUACCUCAUACGACCUACGGGUGAAAGCAGGGGAACUUCGGACCUUGCGCGAUUGAAUGAGCCGAUGUCGGAUUAGCUAGUUGGCGGGGUAAAGGCCCACCAAGGCGACGAUCCGUAGCUGGUCUGAGAGGAUGAUCAGCCACACUGGAACCGAGACACGGUCCAGACUCCUACGGGAGGCAGCAGUGGGGAAUAUUGGACAAUGGGCGCAAGCCUGAUCCAGCCAUACCGCGUGGGUGAAGAAGGCCUUCGGGUUGUAAAGCCCUUUUGUUGGGAAAGAAAAGCAGCAGGUUAAUACCCCGCUGUUCUGACGGUACCCAAAGAAUAAGCACCGGCUAACUUCGUG
rnacentral:rRNA from 1 species